AGACACUGUUCUGGAUAAGCAGCUGUUGUGUUACUUUGCUUCAGUGAGUUUUAUCAUUUAAACUUAAGAUCUAGGCUGUAUCUGUCAACAGUCUGUGACUUCCCAAAGGCUUUGUGCAGUCCUGCUGCUGCUCAUAGACUUGGAACCAUUUCAGAGCAGGCGAGGUGCAAUUACUGUGGAUGGUUUCUACUCUGGUGUACUGGAGGUGGUUGCUGUUUACAGUUGCAGUUCGAAGGAAAUCUUGCUCCUGUAGAUUUCAGGGCUGUCAGGAAGGAUGAGGAGGCAGUCAUUGACAAAAUCAGUUAUAUUCAGAAGGCAACUAUGCCAGAAGGUGUCAACCACACUGGAAUGCAGUGGAAGAAAAGGAGCUAAUAAUUAUAAGCACUCUCAUUAUUUAGAAAGUACACUACUCAAAAUGAAUUCAGCUUUCUGAUGACAAGUGAUUUCUCUCACCCCAAGGAGCAUUUCAAAGCAUCCACACAACCAUCUGCAUGAACCCCAGGAGGCGAAGGUAUGGGACCCUCCUUCCAGCUGUGGUGCAGAAUUUAAAAUUGACUGAGAGGUAACUGCAAGUGUUGGAGUUGAGAGAGCUGUUCAAGGAUUCAGUCAUGGAUGUUUGAUAUCUGUCAAAGAGAGCCGUAUGCUUCAGCCAUUGACAGUAAAAGGAGACACUGGUUUCUUCCAAGCUUACGCAUCGCUUGAAGUAUUUUUAAGGUGGCUGCUAAAACUCAGGCAGCUAACGACUACAUGAAUCUAACAAUCUGGCAAGCAAGAAGGACUGGCUGACAAUCUAUCUGCAAUUUGUGCUUUAAGUGCAGUCUCUAGUUGUAUAUACUAAACCCUGGACUGAUGCCACAGUUGCAGAGCCAGAAGAGAGCAGUUGCUGCAGAUCAAGCUCCAUCCUCAUUCUGGUCAGCCACAAUCUGAAUGCAUGCAGCUCUCCACUUUCUCUCAGUGGAAUUCUUUAGCCUUUUAGAAAAUCCCACUGGUUUAUCUUCAGUCAAGAGUUUGUGCCUCUGGAGUUCCACAUCUCAACCAGAAAGAGCAUGUUUAUUUUGUUGCUGUUACAGAAAAAUAAUGAGUCCUGCAUUUUCACCAAUAGUAAGUGAAACUGAUAAUACGAACAUGAGAAAAUACUACAAAUCUGAUUCAUUAAUCUAGACGUGCUUUCGUGUUGUUUGGCGUCUGCUGCAUUUGGCACCAAAGAUGCCUCUAAUCUUUCCUUGAGGGACCAAAUCAAAGGAGAUGAGGUGGAAGUGCAGUAUUGGCUACAUGGGCCUUCCUUCUUGGAGAGGGAAUUGAGUGCUAAGUUGUUUUUAAGCCUAAGAAAAACAAACAAAAUCCUGAGUCAUGAUGCCUUUUAAGUAUCAAUGAAAUUAGUAGAAGGGAGGUUCUAUCGUGUUUAUUCAGUUCUGAUAGUGAUGAUGCAUAAGCAUUGAUUUUAUAUUUCUGAGAUGAAGAUGACAGCACUGUCCGAGAUCACAACUCUGCCUGGAGAGAAUAUGAGACGAAAACCUGUGGUUUCACCGCUGUCCUUACUUCUAGAUGACCUGUAGUGAAGUGCAAGAAUGCAAAUGGAUCUGAACCGUAACGAGAGGCUGGUGUUAAAGAAUAAAUGCCUGAGCACUAGCAAGGACACACUGGGAAGUUCAACGUCAAGUAUCACAGCAGGGUGAGGGCUUCGCUGGACUGCAGUGCAAGACCACUUGAUGGCUGUGAAGAUGAUUAAAUGCUGCAGAGAUGGAGCAGCUGAUGUGUGAGGAGAGGCUGCUGAGCCUGGAAGGGGCUCUAAGGGUCCUUACCGGUGUGCCCUUACCCGGUGGAGGAAGAUGGAAUCAGACUCUUCCCCAUGGUACCCAGUGAGCAAGAGAUACAAACUGAAAUACAGAGACGUCCGUUAAGCAUAAGAAAAACGUGUGCUAACGGCCGUCCAUCC
ensembl:lncRNA